UACGGAGGGUGCAAGCGUUAUCCGGAUUCACUGGGUUUAAAGGGUGCGUAGGCGGGUAAGUAAGUCCGUGGUGAAAUCUCUGAGCUUAACUCAGAAACUGCUGUGGAUACUAUUUGCCUUGAAUAUUGUGGAGGUGAGCGGAAUAUGUCAUGUAGCGGUGAAAUGCUUAGAUAUGACAUAGAACACCAAUUGCGAAGGCAGCUCACUACACAAUCAUUGACGCUGAGGCACGAAAGCGUGGGGGAUCAAACAGG
rnacentral:rRNA from 1 species